rnacentral:rRNA from 1 species
AACGCUGGCGGCGUGCCUAAUACAUGCAAGUCGAACGGUCUUUCUAUGGAAGCUUGCUUCCACUGAGAAGAUAGUGGCGGACGGGUGAGUAACACGUGGGUAACCUGCCCAUAAGAGGGGGAUAACAUCCGGAAACGGGUGCUAAUACCGCAUAGUUUUCUUGAUCGCAUGAUCGAGAAAGGAAAGACGGCCUUUGUGCUGUCGCUUAUGGAUGGACCCGCGGCGUAUUAGUUAGUUGGUGAGGUAAUGGCUCACCAAGACGAUGAUACGUAGCCGACCUGAGAGGGUGAUCGGCCACAUUGGGACUGAGACACGGCCCAAACUCCUACGGGAGGCAGCAGUAGGGAAUCUUCCGCAAUGGACGAAAGUCUGACGGAGCAACGCCGCGUGAGUGAAGAAAAGGUUUUCGGAUCGUAAAACUCUGUUGUCAGAGAAGAACAAGUCGGAGAGUAACUGCUCCGGCCUUGACGGUAUCUGACCAGAAAGCCACGGCUAACUACGUGCCAGCCGCAGC